rnacentral:lncRNA from 1 species
UUUCAUCAAGCCUUUUCUUCUUUGUUUGAGCUCUUUACCUCGCUUCCUUGCUGCCUCCUCCUUGUCUAGAGCCUGUUAUCAUAUACACAUAUUCAUGUAUUUGCAGUAUUAGUUAAGCAGUUAGGCUAAAGAUUUGAAAGUCCAAAAAAAAAUUCAAAAUAUAUCACGUAACAUCAUAGAUUUGAGUAUUAGUGAGUCAUGAUAAUUUUUAGAUUAUCAUAAAUGGAUAUUAUAAAAAAAAGAUAACAAAUAAGUUGCUAACACCUCAGUGAUCCUACUGAUUGUUUGUUGAGUAUCAUUGUCGUUGUCAGGAUCUCGAGCUG